rnacentral:rRNA from 1 species
GAUGAACGCUAGCGGCAGGCCUAACACAUGCAAGUCGAGGGGCAGCGGGGAAAAGCUUGCUUUUCCGCCGGCGACCGGCGCACGGGUGCGCACCGCGUAUGGAACCUGCCUUGUACAGGGGAAUAGCCUUUGGAAACGAAGAUUAAUGCCCCAUGGUACCACGACCCGGCAUCGGGAUGUGGUUAAAGCCCUCGGGCGGUACAAGAUGGCCAUGCGUCCCAUUAGCUUGUUGGUAAGGUAACGGCUUACCAAGGCUACGAUGGGUAGGGGCCCUGAGAGGGGGA